AUUGAACGCUGGCGGCAUGCCUUACACAUGCAAGUCGAACGGCAGCGGGGGAGAAGCUUGCUUUUCCUGCCGGCGAGUGGCGAACGGGUGAGUAAUACAUCGGAACGUGCCCUGUAGUGGGGGAUAACUAGUCGAAAGAUUAGCUAAUACCGCAUACGACCUGAGGGUGAAAGUGGGGGACCGCAAGGCCUCCUGCUAUAGGAGCGGCCGAUGUCUGAUUAGCUCGUCGGUGGGGUAAGGGCCGACCAAGGCGAUGAUCAGUAGCUGGUCUGAGAGGACGAUCAGCCACACUGGGACUGAGACACGGCCCAGACUCCUACGGGAGGCAGCAGUGGGGAAUUUUGGACAAGGGGCGAAAGCCUGAUCCAGCAAUGCCGCGUGUGUGAAGAAGGCCUUCGGGUUGUAAAGCACUUUUGUCCGGAAAGAAAUGGCUCUGGUUAAUACCUGGGGUCGAUGACGGUACCGGAAGAAUAAGGACCGGCUAACUACGUGCCAGCCGCCGCGGUAA
rnacentral:rRNA from 1 species